UACGUAGGGGCCAAGCGUUGUCCGGAUUUAUUGGGCGUAAAGGGCGCGUAGGCGGCUUGGCAAGUGGAAGGUGAAAGCCCUCAGCUCAACUGAGGAAGUGCGCCCGAAACUGCAGAGCUUGAGUACCGGAGAGGAUGGCGGAAUUCCCCAAGUAGAGGUGAAAUUCGUAGAUAUGGGGAGGAACACCGGUGGCGAAGGCGGCGACCUGGGUCGAGACUGACGCUGAGGCGCGAAAGCGUGGGGAGCAAACAGG
rnacentral:rRNA from 1 species